AAGAGUCUGAAGCCCAAGAUCAUCCCUUCAGGAAAAGUAAGAGAAAAGAGCAAGCAUAUAUGAAUGGGUCUCAGUACUACAGCUUGUGAUGUUCAUAGUCAUGAGCAAAAAUUAAAGAUCUAAGCCUGUCUGGGUAUUUUCUUCUGAGCCUCACCAGCACUCUUGGAAGCAAUGCAACAGCAGGAAGCAACAUGCCCGAGUUUCAUCACUCACCAGGCAGGGAAGAAUAACAAUUUCCAGACGAAACAUUAUUUUGAAAUCACUUUGUGCUAAGAUUGCCAGAAGAAGCCAUGCCGACUUUGCAGUGAAAAAGCAAACACAUGACUCGUGUUGAGCAUAAUAGUCAGUCCUAGGAUCAGCAAUGAAUUAAAGGAUUCAAAUUCCAAACUGAUAGCUAACACACAAUAACUGUGCCUGUUAAAAUCAGUUCCCUGAUGCAGGGAACUGUUGUGGGUUUUUUUUUUCAU